CAUUUUAUCAUUUGUUUGUUAAUUGCUAGAGACUAGCAAUAAGCUAGUUGGGGGGUGUGAUGAGAGCACAAAAGUGCGACCUACAUGUCACCAAAAUUAGUGUUUUUGCUAACCGAUAAUAAUAAAUUCACUUAAAUAAUAUUAUAUUUGGGUUUGACACAGGUUAGUAUAAAUUAAAGUUUAAAUGCGCAUUUGGUAGGGUUUAGCGGGAUGCAUCAUAGCCCCAAACCGCGCGGGCCCAAUCCUGUCAUGAUAUGAUCAAGCACAUUUGCACCCAAACAUCCGAACCCGCGUGCGAUCUCCCAGUGAUACUCGCGUUCCCUUCUUUCCGGAUUAGCAUCCGCACUCUUCCGAAAUAGAGAUUCCCACUCUCACUUCAUCACAAAGAAAAAGAACUUUUUAAUCUCCAAUCCCAUGAAGAAUAGCUAAAAAUAAUAUUCAUUCCUGAAAUUACUAUUCAUGCUGAAAUCACUGUUCAUAUGAACAGUG
rnacentral:lncRNA from 1 species